CGUUGAAAUAGCUUGACCGUCAGCACACGUUUGAGGUUGGCUACUCUAACGUUAAUGCAGUACUUCUCUCGUUUAUCCGGACGUGCUGGAGAGCCAGUUGGAUCUUCUGCUGGAGUUUCUCUACCUUCACCUUCUCCUGGAGCCAGGAUCGGUCUGGAAAUUCAGCCAUGGACACGGUGGGGGAGGUUUCUCCGUUGGUGAAGGAGCAGUAAGGGAAGAAGCCAGAGCCAGGGGCAAAGUCGCAG